CCUACGGGAGGCAGCAGUAGGGAAUCUUCCACAAUGGGCGAAAGCCUGAUGGAGCAACGCCGCGUGGGUGAAGAAGGCCUUCGGAUCGUAAAACCCUGUUGUUAGAGAAGAAAGGGCGUGAGAGUAACUGUUCACGUUUCGACGGUAUCUAACCAGAAAGCCACGGCUAACUACGUGCCAGCAGCCGCGGUAAUACGUAGGUGGCAAGCGUUAUCCGGAUUUAUUGGGCGUAAAGGGAACGCAGGCGGGCUUUUAAGUCUGAUGUGAAAGCCUUCGGCUUAACCGGGGUAGUGCAUUGGAAACUGGGAGACGUGAGUGCAGAAGAGGAGGGUGGAAUUCCAUGUGUAGCGGUGAAAUGCGUAGAUAUAUGGAAGAACACCAGUGGCGAAGGCGGCUCUCUGGUCUGUAACUGACGCUGAGGUUCGAAAGCGUGGGUAGCAAACAGGAUUAGAUACCCCGGUAGUC
rnacentral:rRNA from 1 species